CAGUGAUAAACUGGAGGAAGGUGGGGAUGACGUCAAGUCAUCAUGGCCCUUACGACCAGGGCUACACACGUGCUACAAUGGCGCAUACAAAGAGAAGCGACCUCGCGAGAGCAAGCGGACCUCAUAAAGUGCGUCGUAGUCCGGAUUGGAGUCUGCAACUCGACUCCAUGAAGUCGGAAUCGCUAGUAAUCGUGGAUCAGAAUGCCACGGUGAAUACGUUCCCGGGCCUUGUACACACCGCCCGUCACACCAUGGGAGUGGGUUGCAAAAGAAGUAGGUAGCUUAACCUUCGGGAGGGCGCUUACCACUUUGUG
rnacentral:rRNA from 2 species